UCUCCGUAGGUGAACCUGCGGAGGGAUCAUUACAGAGUUCUCGCCCUCGCGGGUAGAUCUCCCACCCACUGUUAUCGUUACUGUGUUGCUUUGGCGGGCCGCCGGGCCCCGCUCGGCCGCCGGCUCCGGCUGGCGCGCGCCCGCCAGAGGCCCAGCAAACCCUGAAUGUUAGUGUCGUCUGAGUACUAUAUAAUAGUUAAAACUUACAACAACGGAUCUCUUGGUUCUG
rnacentral:misc_RNA from 1 species